CUAUGGCCUGCCAGUUGAUGGGAGCAGGAUAAUCACUCUCAACACCAGAUGCAAUGCGACCACAAGUUCUAGGAGCUAAUCUUGAAACAGACAGACCAAGCCUGGAGACCCAGUUUCAAAGGUCCAGAGAUGGCUUCAAGGUGGCGAAUUAACAACCAUUGCUGAGAUGAUGUCAUUCAUUGUUGAGAUGAUGUCAGCCUAAUGUCCAGGUGGACUGGGACCCAAGAUGGCCACCAAAACAAGACAUGUGGAUUGUACUCAGCCCAAUUUUUGCAUGUCUUCCAUAUCAAGGUAUCCCUUUUUAAAAACUCUGCCUUCUCUCUCAACCACAGCUGAAGGAGUUACUUUGGAUAGGAAUCCUGCCAUUUCCCCUUCAAUAGUUUUGGUUAAUAAAGUCACUUUCUUU